GGGAGAGUGCAAAGAUAACAGAGCCAGACUCUUUUCAGAGGUACCCAGAGACAGGACAAGGGUCAAUGAACAUAAUCUUGAAUGCAGGAGAUUCUGUCUGAGCACCAGGAAGCAGUUUACUGUACCGUGAUGGAGCACUGGAACAGAUUGCCCAGAGAGGCAAUGGAGUCUUCUUCCUCAGAGACCUUCGAAAGGCACAGCUUCUCCAGCGUAUUUCCCUAAUGGAGAGUUUAGAAAAACCUGACCCCUAGUCAUACCGUGCCACUAAUGCUGCAGCUCCAAGCUUGUGGAACCUGAGGUGGAGCAAGCAAGUGCCAGUAAGGUUAAAGUAACUGAAGUGGCCAAAAGUGGCUAAAGUGACUCCUCAGCACCUGGACUGAAGCUACUUGGAAUCUCUUUUGCCAGCAGCACAAGCAGAGCCUGCUUGAGAGUAGCAGCACCUAAAAAAGUAAAGGACAGUAAAGAACUUGCAACCUAAUAUUCCUUUUGCAUAUUAAUUUUGAAGUAAAUUCCUUGGCCGUCUGUCUGAAAAGACGACUGAAACAACUUCUGUCACGUGGCACUGUAAGAAUUGCCACGAUCAGAUCUGAGCCUUCAAUUAGUUGUCACAUCACUGAUGUCAAAACUUGACAGAGCUGACUUUCACACAGUAUGAGUCUCAUAUUCUAUGUGGGAAUAUGAGCCUGUACACAUGUGCUUAGAUGCCUUCAUGAAGAAGACAGACUAACAAACACUGGUUGGUCUGUGGAGCUAAUUUGUGCUCUACAUGAGACUUCUUGAUAGAGGAUGUGUAGCUGUGGCUUCCAUAAGCAUGGGUGAAGGGAUCAUUUUAGCUUAUGUUUUACGUUCCUAUUCCUCACUCAGAGCAGAAGGCCCCUGAGCAAACAGUGGUUAUGCAAGAAGAAAGAGGUUGGUCAGGGGCUGUUUUCUGGGUGAAGUAUGACUUGCUUCUCAUUCUUAGGUAUUAAAAGUUCCUCAAAUGAAUAGGAUGUUGCUCAGUUCUCUUUCACCAAAAUUCAGUGACAAAUUUUACCUUGGAGUAUUUGUGCUUAUUUUUUUCAGUGGGCCAUCAAAAGUUUCUGAGAAAUAAAAUUGAGAGAAGGUGGUCCUUAAAGCAACAGAAAAGCAGGCACAGUUCCCCUAUGAUCUUCAUGUUCCUGCUGCCUCCAUCCCCAAAUAUCAAAGAUCUGGUGGAAAAAAAGUUGUGAUAAGCAUUUCUCAGAGAAGAAGAUGCAGAAAUGUUUUGUAAGAGUAGUGGAUCUGCAACAAGCCCUGCGCAACUGUAACUAAUUUUUGAAACAAUUCCAGGAAGAUUACUGCAAUAGCUAAAUAAAAAGAAAAGGAGACCUUGAAAACUAACAGUUUUUCUAAUAAAUUAUUUUAAAGAUGUCCUGGUGCAAUUGUGCUAAGGACUCUUCAGCUGUCUGUAUGGAUGCCGAGUCAUUCUGAUGUCAAAUGCCUGAAGCCUGCAGGAAAUUGCAGGUUUGUUGUUGCUGAGUCACAGUGGUAUGUACAUCACAUUAACAUCAGCUGGCACACAGGAAGGACAGAUACACACCUCUCACUCCCCAUAGAAGAUGCCCAUGAGAAUAACACUAGGGACAUCCUCAGAGCAUGUUUGUUCCUUGGUUGUUUCCUGCACCUCUAAUUAAAGCACUGUGUUAGGCUGAGGAUAAAUGAAUAUUCCAUAGGAUGGGUCAAUAAUGACUUUUCAAGGUAUUCUGAUAUUUGUAUUAAAAGAACAUUUUACUGCUGCAGUAAAGAAAAGUAUAUAAGCAAGUCAGAACUCUGUUACCCAUGGUACUAGCAGCACUUAUUAUGCACCACUGACAACAGCCUCCAUUCCCAUUAUACAAUACUGUUUUUAGUUUUUCCACCUUCUUUUCAAAAGCUGAGUUUAAGCCAAAACUUUUCAUACUCUACCCGUGCCCCUGGCUGAAUUCCUUAAUAUUUCAGCCAAAUAACUCAGCCCCUUCAGUGAAUGAGCCUAGAAACAAAGUGCCAUUUUGCUCCUGUUAAUACUUGGAGGUCUUUGAAAUGCCCCAGCAUCACCCUACUUUGAAGAAGAGAUUUUAAGUUAGCAGAGGGAUAGUGCUCUUGUCAAGAAUAAACCUUCCACCAGGCCUGUGAAAAACAUCUCCAGUGUUUUCAAAAUCUUGCUGAAUGGGUCAACUGCAAUUCACGCAGAUUCAGGAGAGUUGGGAGAAAGCUGAUAUCUCAGACUUCUUACCCUUCCCUUCACUGACCAGAUGUACAACUGCUUUUCCCAUGGGGUUGCUUCAGUCAAUAACUUUAGGGGAACAUAAAAAAAAAAAAAAAAAACCAGUUUCAGAAUCAUAGAAUCACAGGACUGCUGAGGUUGACAGGGACCUCAGAAUCCAUCUGGCCCAACUCCUGCUCAAGCAGAUACACCUAGAGUGGGGUGCCCAAGGCUGCCCUGACACAUAAUGUCAUUGGCGCUCAUUUU